GAUCGACGCUCUCAAUUCCGAUCGGGCGAUGGGCCACCACGACAACGACGCCGCCUCGCGCGCGGACGCCAAGGAUGGCUUUGUUCAGCGCCAGGUCGCCUUCGUUGUCGAGGUUGGAGUUCGGCUCAUCCAGCACCACGAGGAACGGAUUGCCAUACAGCGCCCGUGCCAGCGCGAUGCGCUGCGCCUGUCCAGCUGACAGC
rnacentral:misc_RNA from 1 species